AAGAGAUUUGAUGAAAUGAUACACUGCAUAUAAGUGUCCUUCAGGAAGUCUUCUAGGAGCUCUAUCGCCUUUGGGAACAAGAUCAUUCAUCCAGGACAUGCUGUGUCAAUGGUUGGCAUCGUCUCAUUUUUGAAAUGACAGAAUGCAGUAAAAGUCUCCUGCCCGUGCUGGACUCGAUUGCCCAGCAGAGAAGAGCUCUCACUAAGUGCAACUUGAAUGUGAACUUGGCCUGGGCAACAGCAGUGCCCUCCUCACUUCUGAGCUGCUGCCACAUACUCAUUGGAGGUAAGUGGGUGGGGACUGAAUUUUAGC